CACGCUAAUUGUCCUGCGAUGUCAUUGGUCAGAAGGUCAGGUGAUCUCUCAUAUCACCAUAUAAGGAUGACCGUGGAGUGAUCUAUGUGCAGACAAUUUGGUUCUCCGUCAGCCUAGGCCACGCUUUUCUCCGUUCCCGACCACAGCGGCUUCCCCGAGGAAAAUGUCUACAAGCUUCGAUUUGAGGACAGCCACGUUUGCCUAGAAAUGCUUUAUCCGUGCUCCCUUUUCUUCAGAAGGGAAAAUGAACGUUUGGUGAAAUGGUGACAUUUGUUUUACGUGCUUUAUUCGUUGAGGGGAAAUUUCCGUGCCCACGUGUUAUGCGCUGACAUUCUUUGUUGCCUUUUCGUGUGCUUGUCUUCCCCCAGCGUCGACAUUUGACUCCGUUUUGUUUCAGUUUUUCUUCUCUUGUAGUUUACCAAGAUUUCAGCUUGACGAGAUACUUUUGGGGGCAUGUUGUCAAGAUGAACGAUUUUCCUUUGUUCUCAGCUACGUAUACGAUGGCCAGCCGCCAUGCAGGUGCAGAAUGUGUUUCCACUAAUUAACUUGGAGCGUUUCUUUCCUAUGGAAGCCGCACUGGUCAUUAAGAUUUGUGGAAGAUUUGAGGUGCACAUGUGCGAUAUGUUUUAUGUGUGUCUCUUACUGUUUUAUCUGCCGGAAGUUUAGAGAGUCAAAUGUGGUGCAGACUGCAGGGGUUACCACGAGGCCCGGACACACGUUGACUUAAUUAAUUUCCCAUCACCUGCAUUCCUUGUUGGUCCUCAGGCGGCCUGCCCGCCCUAACCCGGGAGCCUCAGCUCCCCCCCCCUACUUUUGCCCCUCGCGGGGUCAUUUGGGGGUAUCCUAUGCAGAUGCAGAUGGUUUGCCUUGUUUUCCUUAUUGCCGGGUUAGGGAGCGUUUGGAUAAUUAGGUGUUAACGUAAUUAUUUGUUGAGAUUUUCGUUUUCUUUCUGACGUUUGUUAAUCGGCUCGAGCAAGGAGGAUUGGCGAGUGGCACACGCAGGUUUUCACAUGUUUGUUAUUUUUCACAGAUCUCCUGGCCGACGACAGAAUUGACGCUAUCACGAGGCCAGACUUCAUAUGCAGAUUUUGCCGGCUCUGCUGUCAGGAAUUAGCGACACCGUGCUGCACGUGGACAAGUUCUUCAGAUUCCUGAUUUUUCCGGUGUCCCCGCAGUAGCCGGCACGAGCCAGUCCUUUCCUGGUUACCUGAUUGAGACAGGAGACGGCGGCGCCGGCCGGCUUCGGUUCAUCAGGCGGCUCCAGUCCUGGUUCACGCGGCGGCGGCACCGAGUCAGCAGACUGCUCCAGUCCUGGUUCACGCGGCGGCACCGAGUUAGCAGGCGGCUCCAGUCCUAGUUCACGCGGCGGCGGCACCGAGUCAGCAGGCUGCUCCAGUCCCGGUUCGCGCAGUCAGCAAGCGAUUCCAGCCCUCGGGCCCUUGAGCUGUGGUGGCACUAGCGGUUUUUGGUUUUUUGUUUCGUUACCGUGGGUUUCUGUGUUUGUUUGCUAUUGUCUGCAUUGUUUUCUCCAGUAGAUUUUCUAUGCUUCGUUUUUGUUGUUGUUGUUGUUUUAUUAGGCUUUGUAACCAGGCAGCAGUGUGGUAGGUUUGGUAUGGAAGAGAGAAUAUUAAUGUUGCAACGUUUGUUUUUGCCAUUUGUGUUUAGGCUUUAAUAACUACGUAUGUCUUUGUUAAUAGCUCCCGUAACGACUUUAGGAGACGGAUUGACGGCGUCGGCUUAGCAGGCUCCAGUCCCGGAGUUGGUGGCUCCGAGUCAGCAGUCGGCUCCAGUCCUGGUUCACGUGGCGGUGCCAAGGCAGCAAGCACCAGUCCUGGUCCUAGCAGUGGUGGCUCCGAGUCAGCUGGCGAUUUCUUCUGUUUGUUUUCCUUGUUCGUAUCAGUUCCCCGGUUUCGACGCUAGGUCGUUGGGGUGUAAAAUAUCGUUCCCCGGUCGUUGGGGGUGUAAACUAUUGUUCCCCGGUUUCGACACUAAGUCGUUGGGGGUGUAAAGUAUUGUCCCCCGGUUUCGACACUAAGUCGUUGGGGGUGUAAAGUAUUGUCCCCCGGUUUCGACACUAAGUCCUUGGGGGUGUAAAGUAUUGUUCCCCGGUUUCGACACUAAGUCGUUGGGGGUGUAAACUAUUGUUCCCCGGUUUCGACACUAAGUCGUUGGGGGUGUAAAGUAUUGGUCCCCGGUUUCGACACUAAGUCGUUGGGGGGUGUAAAGUAUUGGUCCCCGGUUUCGACACUAAGUCGUUGGGGUAUAAACUUGUUCCCUGGUUCGGCACUAAGUCGUUAUGGGUUAUUUAUGUGUAGAAUUUGUUAAAGUAUCGAUGUUUGUUUCGAUGCUAGACAUCUUGGUUGAUGUGAAGAGGCGAGUUAACGUGUAAGUAAAAGAAGUGUUUGUGCGUGGCAUGUUACUGACAGGAAUUGCAAGCUCUGAUUCAGCGCACAGAUAUUGAAGAGACAGACCAGGCUACGAGCUUCUGUUUAAUCGAAGCACGGACGUAAGCCACAAGAUGAAGCCCGGAAUUCCGACCCCUGUUACAUCAUCUACUCUCUGACUGCAGAAGCUCCCGUGGAGGGGCCAGCGAGGCAUCGUCUGAGUUUGGAUAUUGUUGUAAAGAAGAUGUUGUUUGGUUUGAUAUGACUAUAUACCAUCUUCAAUUUUCAAUUUUAUAACCUAGAUAGACUUUGAUAAACUUGGAUAGGCAAAUGGCAUAUAUGUAUUUAUGUGUUUUGUAUAUACGUGAAUUCACCUGAUGUUUUCAGGUUAUUAAUAAAGAACUUUGUUGUGUGGUG